rnacentral:rRNA from 1 species
UGGGGAAUUUUGGACAAUGGGGGCAACCCUGAUCCAGCCAUUCCGCGUGAGUGAAGAAGGCCUUCGGGUUGGUUAAAGACUCUUUCGGCAGGAACGAAACGGCGAGCUCUAACAUAGCUCGCUAAUGACGGUACCUGAAGAAGAAGCACCGGCUAACUACGUGCC